rnacentral:lncRNA from 1 species
GCCGAAGACGAGUACGACGAAUAAUCCCCUUUAGAAUCCCCUGUUCCCCUUCAUUUAUCCUUCCUUUUUUUUUCUUUAUAUUCUAUAUUCUCCGCUUCCUUAUCUUAUGUUUAGCAUCUAGGUCUAGUCGAAUUUGAUUCUAGUCUAAUAGAAUCGAAAACUAUUGACACAUUCUAUGAUAUUUAAAUAUGGUAAUAGUGACAUUCUCCAGUUU